CAAAAUAUAUUUUAUUUAGAAUAUUAAUUUUGGAGAUUAAAGGUGGGAAGUUUCUCUAUUUUGA
rnacentral:tRNA from 1 species